rnacentral:rRNA from 1 species
UACGGAGGGUGCAAGCGUUGUUCGGAUUUACUGGGCGUAAAGCGCGCGCAGGUGGGUGAACAAGUCGGAAGUGAAAUCUUGAGGCUCAACCUCGAGGCUGCUCCCGAAACUGUUCGCCUAGGGACUGGUAGAGGCUGGUAGAAUUCCCGGUGUAGCGGUGGAAUGCGUAGAGAUCGGGAAGAAUACCUGUGGCGAAAGCGGCGCACUGGACCACAACUGACGCUGAGGCGCGAAAGCUAGGGGAGCAAACAGG